AAUCAACGCUGGCGGCGUGCCUCAGACAUGCAAGUCGAACGCGAAAGUCCCCUUCGGGGGGAUGAUUAGAGUGGCGUCCGGGUGAGUAACACGUGGGUAAUCUACCUUCGGGUGGGGAAUAACAGUCGGAAACGACUGCUAAUACCGCAUAAUGCAGCGGCACCUAAUGGUGACAGUUGUUAAAAGCGGGGGAUCGCAAGACCUCGCGCCUGAAGAGGAGCCCCGCGGCGGANAGCUAGUUGGCAGGGUAACGGCCUACCAAGGCGACGAUCCGUAGCCGGCCUGAGAGGGCGGUCGGCCACACUGGCACUGACAUACGGGCCAGACUCCUAC
rnacentral:rRNA from 1 species